rnacentral:rRNA from 1 species
GGAAUCUUCCACAAUGGGCGCAAGCCUGAUGGAGCAACACCGCGUGAGUGAAGAAGGGUUUCGGCUCGUAAAACUCUGUUGUUGGAGAAGAACGUGCGUAAGAGUAACUGUUUACGCAGUGACGGUAUCCAACCAGAAAGUCACGGCUAACUACGUGCCAGCAGCCGCGGUAAUACGUAGGUGGCAAGCGUUAUCCGGAUUUAUUGGGCGUAAAGCGAGCGCAGGCGGUUGUUUAGGCCUGAUGUGAAAGCCUUCGGCUUAACCGAAGAAGUGCAUCGGAAACCGGGCGACUUGAGUGCAGAAGAGGACAGUGGAACUCCAUGUGUAGCGGUGGAAUGCGUAGAUAUAUGGAAGAACACCAGUGGCGAAGGCGGCUGUCUGGUCUGCAACUGACGCUGAGGCUCGAAAGCAUGGGUAGCGAAC